GACGAACGCUGGCGGCGUGCCUAAUACAUGCAAGUCGAACGAACCGCUACUGAGUGCUUGCCCUUGGUGUUGGUGAGUGACGAACGGGUGAGUAAUACGUGGGUAACCUAUAUCAUAGUGGGGACUUACAGUCGGAAACGACUGCUCAUAAUGACUUGUACAUGGACACACUUGUAUCGGUAAGGAUAGGUUGCCUAUCCCAUAUAGAUGAAAUGGACCCGCGGUGGAUUAGCUAGAUGGUAGGGUAAGGGCUUACCAAGGCGACGAUGCAUAGCCGACCUGAGAGGGUGAUCGGCCACACUGGAACUGAGACACGGCCCAGACUCCUACGGGAGGCAGCAGUAGGGAAUCUUCCGCAAUGGGCGCAAGCCUGACGGAGCAACGCCGCGUGAGUGAUGAAGGGUUUCGGCUCGUAAAGCUCUGUUAUUAGAGAAGAACAACGGUGUAAGUAACUGUGAAGCGCUUGACGGUAUCUAACCAGAAAGCCACGGCUAACCACGUG
rnacentral:rRNA from 1 species